ACGAACGCUGGCGGCGUGCUUAACCCAUGCAAGUCGAGCGGUGAAGCGCCUUCCUUUUUGGUGGGUGUGGAUGAGUGGCGAACGGGUGAGUAACACGUGAGUAACCUGCCCCCUUCUUCUGGAUAACCGCAUGAAAGUGUGGCUAAUACGGGAUAUUCUGGGUCUGUCGCAUGAUGGGUCUGGGAAAGAUAUUGUUUCGGUGGGGGAUGGGCUCGCGGCCUAUCAGCUUGUUGGUGGGGUGAUGGCCUACCAAGGCGGUGACGGGUAGCCGGCCUGAGAGGGUGGACGGUCACACUGGGACUGAGACACGGCCCAGACUCCUACGGGAGGCAGCAGUGGGGAAUAUUGCACAAUGGGCGCAAGCCUGAUGCAGCGACGCCGCGUGAGGGAUGGAGGCCUUCGGGUUGUGAACCUCUUUCGCCAGUGAAGCAGGCCUGCCUCGUUUGUGGGUGGGUUGACGGUAGCUGGAGAAGAAGCGCCGGCUAACUACGUG
rnacentral:rRNA from 1 species